AUCCAGCUGACGAGUCCCAAAACAGGACGAAACGCGCGUCCUGGAU
rfam:Schistosoma margrebowiei strain Zambia genome assembly, scaffold: SMRZ_scaffold0000138